rnacentral:rRNA from 1 species
CCUACGGGAGGCAGCAGUGAGGAAUAUUGGUCAAUGGACGAGAGUCUGAACCAGCCAAGUAGCGUGAAGGAUGACUGCCCUAUGGGUUGUAAACUUCUUUUAUAAAGGAAUAAAACGAGGCACGUGUGCCUUUUUGCAUGUACUUUAUGAAUAAGGAUCGGCUAACUCCGUGCCAGCAGCGGCGGUAAUACGGAGGAUCCGAGCGUUAUCCGGAUUUAUUGGGUUUAAAGGGAGCGUAGGUCGGUUGUUAAGUCAGUUGUGAAAGUUUGCGGCUCAACCGUAAAAUUGCAAUUGAUACUGGCAGUCUUGAGUACAGUUGAGGGAGGCAGAAUUCGUGGUGUAGCGGUGAAGUGCGUAGAGAUCACGAAGAACCCCGAUUGCGAAGGCAGCUUACUAAACUGUGACUGACAUUGAUGCGCGAAAGUGUGGGUAGCAAACAGGAUUAGAUACCCGGGUAGUC